UCCCCGAUGGCGCAGUUGGUAGCGCGCUCGACAAAGCACCUAUCGAAAUCACACGUUCAAGUCGAUAAGUGCCACGCUCGAGAGGUCCCAAGUUCGACCCUUGGUCGGGGGA